GAUGAACGCUGGCGGUAGGCCUAACACAUGCAAGUCGAACGGCAGCACAGUAAGAGCUCGCUCUUACGGGUGGCGAGUGGCGGACGGGUGAGGAAUACAUCGGAAUCUACUUUUUCGUGGGGGAUAACGUAGGGAAACUUACGCUAAUACCGCAUACGACCUACGGGUGAAAGCAGGGGAUCUUCGGACCUUGCGCGAUUGAAUGAGCCGAUGUCGGAUUAGCUAGUUGGCGGGGUAAAGGCCCACCAAGGCGACGAUCCGUAGCUGGUCUGAGAGGAUGAUCAGCCACACUGGAACUGAGACACGGUCCAGACUCCUACGGGAGGCAGCAGUGGGGAAUAUUGGACAAUGGGCGCAAGCCUGAUCCAGCCAUACCGCGUGGGUGAAGAAGGCCUUCGGGUUGUAAAGCCCUUUUGUUGGGAAAGAAAAGCAGCAGGUUAAUACCCCGCUGUUCUGACGGUACCCAAAGAAUAAGCACCGGCUAACUUCGUG
rnacentral:rRNA from 1 species